UCCAACAUUUAUCAGUGUCCAUAACAUGCCUGAUCUCAUCUGAUCUGGGAAGCUAAGCAGGGUCAAGCUUGGUUAGUACUUGGAUGGGAGAGGUCCAGGGGCAUCCCUAGCUAACUAUGGAG
rnacentral:rRNA from 1 species